rnacentral:rRNA from 2 species
UAUACCGUGAAACUGCGAAUGGCUCAUUAAAUCAGUUAUCGUUUAUUUGAUAAUACCUUACUACUUGGAUAACCGUGGUAAUUCUAGAGCUAAUACAUGCUGAAAAUCCCGACUUCGGAAGGGAUGUGUUUAUUAGAUAAAAAACCAAUGCCCUUCGGGGCUUUUUGGUGAUUCAUGAUAACUUUACGGAUCGCAUAGCCUUGCGCUGGCGACGGUUCAUUCAAAUUUCUGCCCUAUCAACUUUCGAUGGUAAGGUAUUGGCUUACCAUGGUUUCAACGGGUAACGGGGAAUUAGGGUUCGAUUCCGGAGAGGGAGCCUGAGAAACGGCUACCACAUCCAAGGAAGGCAGCAGGCGCGCAAAUUACCCAAUCCCGACACGGGGAGGUAGUGACAAUAAAUACUGAUACAGGGCUCUUUUGGGUCUUGUAAUUGGAAUGAGUACAAUUUAAACCUCUUAACGAGGAACAAUUGGAGGGCAAGUCUGGUGCCAGCAGCCGCGGUAAUUCCAGCUCCAAUAGCGUAUAUUAAAGUUGUUGCAGUUAAAAAGCUCGUAGUUGAAACUUGGGCCUGGCUGGCGGGUCCGCCUCACCGCGUGCACUCGUCCGGCCGGGCCUUCCUUCUGAAGAACCUCAUGCCCUUUACUGGGCGUGUUGGGGAAUCAGGACUUUUACUUUGAAAAAAUUAGAGUGUUCAAAGCAGGCCUUUGCUCGAAUACGUUAGCAUGGAAUAAUAAAAUAGGGCGUGCGUUUCUAUUUUGUUGGUUUCUAGAGACGCCGCAAUGAUUAACAGGAACAGUCGGGGGCAUCAGUAUUCAGUUGUCAGAGGUGAAAUUCUUGGAUUUACUGAAGACUAACUACUGCGAAAGCAUUUGCCAAGGAUGUUUUCAUUAAUCAGUGAACGAAAGUUAGGGGAUCGAAGACGAUCAGAUACCGUCGUAGUCUUAACCGUAAACUAUGCCGACUAGGGAUCGGGCGAUGUUCUUUUUCUGACUCGCUCGGCACCUUACGAGAAAUCAAAGU